rnacentral:misc_RNA from 1 species
UUUUUUCACUAAUUUUUUCAAGAAUAAGAUCUUUCAAGGUAUUCAUUUGAAGAUUUGUAGUUCUCUCAUGAUCAAGAGACUCCAAAAUCUUUUCAACAAUUAUUUUGACAUCAAACUUUUCAGAAAUGCACACCCACAUUUUAAGCUCAAAAUUUGAUUUCACCAUAUCAUCAUUAUAUGCAAGUUUAGCAAGUGUUGUCUUUCCUAAUCCUCCAAGACCAACAAUGGAAAUGAUCGACACAUUCUCCCUAUAACUAGAAGACAGAAGAAAAUCAAUAAUUUCCUUCUUAUCAUUUUCUCUGCCAACAACUACUUGAGGUAAAGAAGAGUGAGUUUGCUCUCUUUCCUCA